rnacentral:rRNA from 1 species
AUUGAACGCUGGCGGCAUGCCUUACACAUGCAGGUCGAACGGUAACAGGUCUUCGGAUGCUGACGAGUGGCGAACGGGUGAGUAAUACAUCGGAACGUGCCUAGUAGUGGGGGAUAACUACUCGAAAGAGUGGCUAAUACCGCAUGAGAUCUACGGAUGAAAGCAGGGGAUCGCAAGACCUUGUGCUACUAGAGCGGCCGAUGGCAGAUUAGGUAGUUGGUGGGAUAAAAGCUUACCAAGCCGACGAUCUGUAGCUGGUCUGAGAGGACGAUCAGCCACACUGGGACUGAGACACGGCCCAGACUCCUACGGGAGGCAGCAGUGGGGAAUUCUGGACAAUGGGCGCAAGCCUGAUCCAGCAAUGCCGCGUGCAGGAUGAAGGCCUUCGGGUUGUAAACUGCUUUUGUACGGAACGAAAAGCCCUGGGUUAAUACCCUGGGGUCAUGACGGUACCGUAAGAAUAAGCACCGGCUAACUACGUGCCAGCCGCCGCAGUAAGAC